rnacentral:lncRNA from 1 species
UGGGUCGUCGAGACAACCGGCUCAAAGAAGCAUCAAGAUGAUGAGUUAUGGGCUUUCGGAUUGAUCCUAUAAGACGAUGCAUGGAGGGGAGGUACCCUCGGGCGGGCGACCCGAGUCACUUGGCCUGCCACCUAGCCCACUAGGCCCAACAUAUGGCCUAGCGAGCCGUGCACCUGAGAAAAAUGUGUGGUCCAUGUUGCACGCCUCUGCAGGUGGCUGACCGAGGCCCAUUGGGAAGAUCUAAAGGCUGGCCCUCAUCUCGAUGCCUGUUCAGCAGACCCACACCCGAGGGAGAAGAAACUGGUCCAAAUGUCUAGCCCAGCAAGUCGACCCAAUAGCCCGGUCCAGCAGCAGCCUGACCCAAAGGCAGCACACGUGCCCAAAGCCACGCGCUCAUGUACGGGCUUCCCUAGCCAUACAAAUGAGGUAUGUAUGUGUGGUAAGUUUUUGGACUUUUUUUCUCCACACAGCCCAUGUGACUUUUCAGCCCAAAAUUUACAAAAUUCGCAUGGUAAUUAUCAU